UUAACUAAAACCAAAAAGAGGUAAAUUAUUGUUAAUAAUUUCACUGAAUGUAUUAUUCUAGUUAAU
rnacentral:tRNA from 1 species